UCCCACAUCAGGUAUUGCUGAGCCUCUGGAGACCCUUCAGGAACGCUGCUGUUGAACCGCUUGGAAUAAGGAUGGCUUUCCAAGGCACAGAGAAUGAAAUUGACCUGAAAAGUACUGAACACCAGGAAGAAGGAAAUCCUGUGCUUACCAGACUAAACAAAAUCAAAGCAAAAGGAAUUCUGAAUUAUGUAACACUCAAAGAAAAUGAACCUGAACCUCAAACCCUGGUAUUUAGGCACACCACGAAAGCUCAAGAAAGAACCAGAAAAAGACAGCAGCCUGUGAAACUGGAGCCUCUGCCAGUGCUAAAAAUCUACCAAGACCACAAGCAGCCCGAGUACAUAUAUGAACAGAAUCGACAGCAACUCAUGAGCUUGGGAAUUCUUAAGCCAUCACCAAGCAUGGCUGAGAGAGCAUCAAUUACUAGUCUAGAGGCUCAAGAAGCUAUGAAAAGGAAACAGGUCCAUAGACCCUCUGCAGACGUGUUCCUUCCUUCUCCGUCUAAACUGCCGCGCACAAGUAUUGGAAGAAGAGGGCUCUUUGGAAUGAGGUCUUCAACUUAUCCUAAGUACACCUUCCAAGACCGAGAAGAAGUCAUUAAAGCCAACAUUAGAGACCCCUUGCAAAUCAUCAAAAUAGUGCACGAGAAUGAACAUCUCGGAUUCCUUUACAUGAUUUCGGCCGUACCGAAGUCUUCCAUUGAAUAUGAUACAUAUAAUCUAAAGGUCGUAAGUUAUGAGAACAUCAAUAAAAAUGACUACUACACAAUUAGCAAAGACGCAGUUACCCACGUCUACAACGAUGACAUCGAGUACAUCGAGAUUGAGCGAUGGGAACAGGAGUACCUGUACCACAGAGAGCUCACGAAGAUCCCCAUAUUCUCGCUCUUCCGGAAGUGGAAGGCUUUCAGCGUGUGGCGGAAGAACGUGCGCUCCAAGAAAAUCACUGGCUGUCGAAAAGCGCUUCGAAAAAACCUGUUCAUUGUUAAUCCUUAUCUACGACCAGCUCUUCUUAAAAUUAAUGAAAUGUGCUAUCUGCUGAGUUUUAUGGGACUUUGUUACAUUGAAAAAUUCCACACCUACACCCUGCAGGAGUUCAAGGCUGCACAAAUUGUGCGACUGCAGGAGGUGACAGAGCGCCUGGAAGAUUUCCGAAUCGAGGCAAAAGACGUGGUCAGGAAGUCGUGCCGCUUUGCCUUACGUGCUGCGGGAUUUAUUCCUGAUGACUGUGAAGUUGAAACCCAUGAGGAUUACUUUAAGAUCAACAUUGCAAGUUUUAUUGAUGGUCCGCUUGAUUUACCCACUUAUGGAGAAUCGGAAAAAAUGACUUACACAGAACAGGCCAGCAAAAGGCAUCACUGCAUGAGGCUUACGUGCUUCAUCCGUCUGAAUGAUUACCUAAUCCAGAACACCCUGCACGUCCUCACAGUGAAUACUGCCAGCUCUCUUCUCAAUUUCUUCUCUGAUAAACUAAAGCGAACUCCCUCAGCAGAUGUCAUCCAGAAGUGGAUUAGUGAAGAGAAGCCCGAAGUCGUUGAGAAAAAGGGGGCCCCACUGAUGGAAAAGCAAGAAGAAGAUGAGUCUCUCAUCCCCAUGUUCCUCACAGAGCUGAUUCUGACGGUGCAAUCGCUACUCUUCGAACCUUCUUUGGAAGACUUUCUGGAUGGCAUUUCUGGAGCAAUUAAUCACUUUGAAAACACGGUGUUGUCAGUUCCUAAUCUGGUGCCUGACUCGUACUUUGACGCUUUCACCAGCCCAUUCAUUAACAAGAAGGUUGAGGAGAAGACCUGCGGGCCUGGGCCGAGUCUGUCAGCAGUGUUUGAGGAUGACAGGAACUUUCUCACCAUCAUCAUGCAAAUAAAGGAAACAAUUCACGCAGCAUUCGACUCUGCACGCUUGUACGCAGCGACAUUUGAAAAGUUUCAGAUAUUCUUCAAGGAAAACGAGAGUCUCGAUCUGGAGGCACUGAAGGGGGAGGAGCCUGAUGUCCAAUUUUUCAGUACCCAGCUGGAAAAAUAUCACAAACAGCACAAGGACUCAGUAGCCCUGAGACCCACCCGGAAUGUAGGCCUGUUACUCAUUGACACCAAGCAGCUGAAGGAGAAGCUAAUCCCAUCACCGCUGCGGUGCUUGGAGGUGCUAAAUCUUAUGCUUCCCCGUUUGAGCAAGAAAAAAGUGGAUGCUAUCAUCUCAGAGGCACAAGAUGCCGAAUAUAAACUCGAGUUUGUGCCAACAACUACCAUAGAGUAUGUCAACAGCUUAGUAUUCCUUGACGAAAUUCAGGAGCGGAUCGAAACCCUGGAGGAGGAAUCGAAUGUGGUGGUUCAGAUGUACAAGCUCAUUGAACAGUAUCAGGUGCCCACUCCCCCUGAAGACUUUGCUGUCUUCGCCACUAUGAAGCCGUCCAUAACUGCUGUGCGGAACGCCAUUGACAAAUCUGUGGGUGAUCGAGAAACAAGCAUCAAACAGUUUUGUAUGCACUUGGGUCGGGAUCUUGAAGAGCUCAACAACGAGGUGAAUGAAGUCAAGCUUCUGGCACAGGACCCACAGAUCUUGGAUAUUAGUGCUGACCAGGAGAAAAUAAAGAUGAUGCUGAGUGACCUGCAGUCCGUUCUGGAUGACCUUCAGAAACGCGCCUUUCAGUACAAAUCCUACCAGAAGAAUUUCAAGGUGGAAGUGUCCAAGUUUGAUGCAUUGGAGGAGGUUAGUGCUGAACUCAGACUCAAGCAGCUGCUGUGGGAUUCCUUGUAUGAGUGGGAUAAACUCCAGCAGGAAUGGCUAAAGUCCAAAUUUGACUGCUUGGAUCCAGAAGUCCUAAACGGUCAAGUUACUAAAUACGCUAAAUUUGUGACCCAGCUGGAAAAGGGCUUGCCACCGAACAGUGUGGUGCCCCAGCUCAAACAGAAGGUGGAGAAAAUGAAAGAAAAGCUUCCUGUGAUCAUUGACUUGAGAAACCCAACCCUGAAAGCUCGGCACUGGGCAGCCAUCGAACAAACUGUGGACGCCCUCCUAGUGGACAUUGAAAUUCCGCUGACCUUAGAGAGGCUGUCUGAACUGCAUGUCUUUGAUUUUGCUCAAGAAAUCCAAGACAUAUCUGGACAGGCUUCUGGGGAAGCUGCCUUAGAGAUAAUUCUUAAGAAGGUGGAAGACUCUUGGAAAACAACGGAAUUUGUCAUUCUUCCUCACCGUGACUCUAAGGACGUAUUUAUCCUGGGUGGCACAGAUGACAUUCAGGUCCUUCUUGAUGAUAGCACCAUCAACAUUGCAACCAUCGCCUCAUCACGGUAUGUGGGUCCCCUGAAGUCUCGAGUGGAUGACUGGCAGAAACAGCUUUCCUUAUUUAAUCAAACACUGGAAGAGUGGCUCAACUGUCAGAGAAACUGGCUCUAUCUAGAAAGCAUCUUUAAUGCCCCAGACAUUCAGAGGCAGCUGCCUGCAGAAGCCAAGAUGUUCCUUCAGGUGGAUAAGUCAUGGAAGGAAAUCAUGAGGAAGGUCAACCGGCUGCCUAAUGCGCUCCGGGCUGCGACUCAGCCAGGGCUUCUGGAGACUUUCCAAAACAAUAAUGCAUUGCUUGACCAAAUUCAGAAAUGUCUGGAGGCAUAUUUAGAGUCAAAGAGAGUUAUCUUCCCAAGGUUUUACUUCUUAUCUAACGACGAGCUCCUGGAGAUUUUGGCCCAGACACGGAACCCACAAGCUGUGCAGCCUCAUCUAAGAAAGUGCUUCGACUCCAUCUCAAAGCUCGAGUUUGCUCUCAUGCCUCCUACAGAGGGGAAAAUACCUGGCAUCGAUACUGAGCCAGAAAAAGUCUUCACCAAUGACAUUUUGGCAAUGCUGUCACCUGAGGGAGAACGGGUUGGCCUGGGGAAAGGCCUCAAGGCGAGAGGCAAUGUGGAAGAAUGGCUUGGUAAGGUGGAGGAAGCCAUGUUCUCAUCUCUCCGCCGCCUGUGCAAAGCUGCCAUUGCUGAUUACCAGGGGAAACCCAGGACAGAGUGGGUGAUCGCUGGCCACCCUUCUCAAGUGAUCCUGACCAUUUCUCAGAUCAUGUGGUGCCGGGAUUUGACUGAGAGUCUAGAGUUUGACGAAGAUCCCUUGGAAGCCCUGGAAGAUUUUGAGCAAGUAAAUUUUGAGAGAUUAAAUGCACUGGCCGCAAUAGUUCGAGGCAGUCUUCCUAAAUUACACAGAAACAUCAUAACUGCAUUGAUUACCAUCGAUGUGCACGCAAGAGAUAUAGUUUCCGAACUGGUUCAAGCCAAGGUAGACUCAGCCGAAUCCUUUGACUGGCAGCGGCAGUUGCGGUACUACUGGGACGUGGACCUGGAUAACUGCGUGGCGAGAAUGGCGUUGUCUCAGUACACCUAUGCCUACGAGUACUUGGGCGCAUGCCCGAGACUGGUCAUCACUCCUCUCACAGAUCGCUGCUACCUUUGCCUCAUGGGGGCUUUGCAGCUUGACCUCGGAGGCGCACCGGCUGGUCCUGCUGGCACCGGGAAAACGGAGACCACCAAAGACCUAGCCAAAGCCCUCGCCAUCCAGUGUGUGGUCUUCAACUGCUCUGACGGUUUGGACUACAAGAUGAUGGGGCGCUUCUUCAGUGGCUUGGCACAGUCAGGGGCCUGGUGCUGCUUUGACGAAUUCAAUCGGAUUGACAUAGAAGUCCUGUCCGUCAUUGCUCAGCAACUCAUCACCAUUAGGAAUGCCAAAGCAGCAAAGCUCUCCAGAUUCAUGUUUGAGGGACGGGAAAUCAAGCUCGUUAUGACCUGCGCGGCUUUCAUCACCAUGAAUCCCGGCUACGCAGGCAGAACAGAACUGCCAGACAACUUGAAGGCCCUGUUCAGACCCAUGGCUAUGAUGGUUCCCAAUUACGCACUGAUUGCAGAGGUAAUUCUGUAUUCUGAAGGAUUUGAAUCCAGUAAAAUACUAGCAAGGAAGAUGACACAGAUGUACAAGCUCUGCAGUGAACAGCUGUCCCAGCAGGAUCACUACGACUUUGGCAUGAGAGCCGUCAAGUCUGUACUGGUCAUGGCUGGGUCUCUAAAAAGAGAGAACCCAGACCUCAGCGAAGACGUGGUCCUGAUCAGAGCGUUGCGAGACUCCAACUUGCCAAAAUUCUUAACAGAUGAUGCUCUCCUGUUCAGUGGCAUCAUAUCUGAUCUCUUUCCUGGAGUCCAAAUCCCAGAACAUGACUAUGGUAUUUUGCAGUCAACAAUUGUGGAUGUCAUGAUUAACCAGAACCUUCAGCCUGAGUUAUGUAUGGUCAAAAAGGUGAUACAGUUGUACGAAACCAUGCUGGUGAGACACGGCGUUAUGUUAGUAGGGCCAACGGGCGGUGGCAAGACCACAGUUUACCAAGUAUUAGCAGAAACCUUAGGGAAUCUGGAAAAACUCAACACAGGCAAUCCUUUUUAUCAGCCGGUAAAAACCUAUGUUCUUAAUCCCAAAUCGAUCACAAUGGGAGAGUUAUAUGGGGAAGUCAAUAACGUGACCUUGGAAUGGAAGGACGGUUUGAUGGCACUAAGUGUCCGAGCAGCUGUGAACGAUACUUCGGAAGAUCAUAAAUGGAUAAUCAGUGAUGGGCCAGUGGAUGCUCUUUGGAUUGAAAAUAUGAAUACUGUCUUGGAUGACAACAAGAUGCUGUGUCUGGCCAACAGUGAAAGGAUUAAACUCACACCUCAAAUCCACAUGCUUUUUGAGGUACAAGAUCUCAGGGUUGCGUCGCCUGCCACAGUCAGCCGAUGUGGAAUGGUGUUCGUGGAUCCCGAAGAACUCAAGUGGAUGCCUUAUGUUAAAACGUGGAUGAGUACCGUCUCUAAAAAACUGAAUGAAGAAGUCCGAGAAUAUUUAUUGAAUCUUUUCAAUCGUUAUGUUGAUGAUGGGUUACAGUUUGUAAACAAGAAGUGCACCCAAGCCAUCCCACAGGUGGACAUCAGCAAAGUGACCACACUCUGCUGCCUACUGGAGUCUUUGCUGCUCAGCAAAGAUGGAAAUAUCUUGUCAAUGGAGCAAAUGAAGCUGAACACUGUACUGUGCCAGACUUUUGUGUUCUGUUAUUUGUGGUCUUUGGGUGGAAACUUAACUGAAAACUACUGGGAUUCCUUUGAUACGUUUAUUAGAACACAAUUUGAUGAUAAUCCCGAUGCCAGGCUUCCCAGUUCUGGAGAUCUGUGGAGCAUUCACGUAGACUUUGACACCAAACGCCUGGACCCCUGGGAACGAAUCAUACCCACCUUCAAGUACAGCAGGGAGGUCCCAUUCUUUGAGAUGCUUGUCCCUACAACAGACACGGUGCGCUAUGGCUAUCUAAUGGAAAAGCUGCUGGCGGUCAGGCACUCAGUGUUGUUUACCGGAACAACUGGAGUCGGCAAGUCUGUUAUUGCAAAAGGAUUGCUGAAUAGAAUUCAAGAAACAGCUGGCUAUGUCCCUGUUUAUCUAAAUUUUUCUGCCCAAACUUCAUCUGCAAGGACACAAGAGAUCAUUGAGUCAAAACUGGAACGAAAGAGAAAAAAUAUUCUAGGAGCGCCAGGAAAUAAACAAGUGGUGAUUUUUGUUGAUGACCUGAAUAUGCCCCGGCUGGACCGCUAUGGCUCCCAACCACCAAUCGAACUGCUACGGCAGUAUCAGGAUUUUGGUGGAUUCUAUGAUAGAAACAAACUCUUUUGGAAAGAAAUACAGGAUGUAACAAUUGUAUCAGCAUGUGCACCUCCAGGAGGGGGUCGCAAUCCGGUGACACCCCGCUUCAUCCGACACUUCAGCAUGCUGUGCCUCCCCAUGCCUUCAGAGCACAGUUUGAAGCAGAUUUUUCAGGCCAUCUUGAAUGGCUUCCUGGCUGACUUCCCAGAAGCAGUAAAGCAAACUUCAUCAAAUAUUGUAGAAGCUGCAGUUGAGAUUUAUAACAGGAUGAGUGUUGAUCUCCUGCCAACCCCAGCCAAGUCCCAUUACGUCUUUAACCUAAGAGACUUAUCCAAGUGUGUGCAAGGUAUUCUCCAAUGUGAUCCAGGAACAAUAAGAGAAGAACUUCAGAUAUUUAGACUGUUUUGCCAUGAAUGUCAAAGAGUGUUCCAUGAUCGCCUGAUCAAUAAUGAAGACAAACACUACUUCCAUGUCAUUUUGACAGAAAUGGCCAACAAGCACUUUGGAAUUGCAAUUGACCUGGAAUACUUUUUAAACAAGCCCAUCAUAUUUGGGGAUUUCAUUAAGUUUGGAGCAGAUAAGUCUGACCGCAUCUACGAUGAUUUACCUGACAUUGAGAAAAUCGAGAAUGUUCUGCAGGACUAUCUCGAUGACUAUAACCUGACAAACCCUAAGGAAGUGAAGCUGGUGUUCUUCCAGGAUGCCGUAGAGCACGUGUCAAGAAUUGCACGGAUGAUCCGCCAGGAAAGGGGCAACGCACUGCUGGUUGGUGUAGGAGGCACAGGAAAGCAGUCCCUCACGAGACUCGCAGCUCAUAUAUGUGGUUACAAGUGUUUGCAGAUUGAACUUAGCCGAGGUUAUAAUUAUGACAGUUUCCACGAAGACCUGAGGAAGUUGUACAAGAUGGCUGGUGUGGAAGACAAAGAUAUGGUUUUCCUUUUCACAGACACGCAGAUUGUCGUCGAAGAGUUCCUUGAAGAUAUAAACAACAUUCUAAAUUCAGGUGAAGUGCCUAAUUUAUUUGAGAAGGACGAGCUGGAGCAGGUUUUAGCAGCCACCCGACCAAAAGCAAAGGAAGUUGGAAUCUCUGAAGGGAACAGAGAUGAGGUGUUUCAAUAUUUCAUCAGCAGAGUACGACAGAAGCUGCACAUAGUUCUCUGCAUGAGCCCCGUUGGCGAGGCCUUCAGGUCGCGAUGCCGGAUGUUUCCGUCCCUGGUGAACUGCUGCACCAUUGACUGGUUUGUCCAGUGGCCCAGAGAAGCGCUUUUGUCUGUAUCAAAGUCAUUUUUCUCAGCUGUCGACACCGGAAACGAAGACCUAAAAGAAAAGCUUUCUCUCAUGUGUGUGAACGUGCACCUGAGUGUCUCCCACAUGGCGGAGCGUUACUACAAUGAGCUGCGCAGGCGCUACUACACCACGCCCACCUCCUACCUGGAGCUCAUCAACCUCUACCUGACCAUGCUCACCGAGAAAAGGAAGCAGUUAGUUUCAGCACGAGAUCGUGUAAAGAAUGGUCUCACCAAGCUAUUAGAGACAAAUGUAUUAGUAGAUAAAAUGAAAUUAGACCUUUCGGCUUUAGAACCUGUGCUGCUACAGAAGUCACAAGACGUCGAAACCCUGAUGGAAAAACUAGUGGUGGACCAAGAGAAUGCUGAUCAGGUCCGUAAUGUUGUGCAAGAAGAUGAAGCCAUAGCAAAGGUGAAAGCUGAAGAGACUCAAGCGAUCGCUGACGAUGCCCAGAGAGACCUGGAGGAGGCACUCCCUGCCCUCGAAGCUGCCAAUAAAGCGCUGGAUUCCUUAGACAAAGCAGAUAUCUCUGAAAUCAGAGUCUUCACAAAGCCGCCCGACUUGGUCAUGACUGUGAUGGAAGCCAUCUCCAUCCUCUUAAAUGCCAAGCCCGACUGGCCAACAGCAAAGCAACUUCUUGGUGACUCUAACUUCCUAAGAAGGCUUUUAGAAUACGAUAAGGAAAACAUAAAGCCUCAGAUACUGUCGAAGCUUCAAAAGUACAUCAACAAUCCUGACUUUGUGCCUGAAAAGGUGGAAAAAGUGUCCAAGGCCUGUAAAUCCAUGUGCAUGUGGGUGAGAGCCAUGGAUCUGUACUCUCGUGUGGUCAAGGAAGUAGAACCAAAGAGGCAGAAACUCCGUGCUGCCCAGGCUGAACUUGAUGCCACAAUGGCUACCCUAAAAGAAAAGCAAGCGUUGCUGAAGCAAGUGGAAGAUCAAAUAAAGACUUUGCAAGAUGAGUACGACAAAGGCGUGAAUGAGAAAGAAAGUCUGGCAAAGAACAUGGCCCUGACCAAAGCGCGCCUGGUACGUGCUGGAAAGCUGACAGCUGCAUUAGGAGAUGAACAGGUUCGAUGGGAAGAAAGCAUUGAGAAAUUCCAGGAGGAGAUAGCAAACAUCGUUGGAAACGUGUUUAUAGCAGCAGCUUGCGUGGCUUAUUAUGGGGCUUUCACAGCCCAGUAUCGGCAGUUGCUUAUAGAGUGCUGGAUCGACUCCUGCCUGGACCUGGAGAUCCCCAUUGACCCCUCCUUCAGUCUCAUUAACAUCCUCGGCGACCCCUAUGAAAUCCGGCAGUGGAACACAGACGGACUGCCCAGAGACUUGAUAUCAACUGAAAAUGGCAUUUUGGUUACUCAGGGGAGAAGGUGGCCUUUGAUGAUUGAUCCCCAAGAUCAGGCCAAUCGCUGGAUAAGAAACAAGGAAAGCAAGAGUGGGUUAAAGGUCAUUAAGCUUACAGACACCAAUUUCUUACGCAUACUGGAAAAUUCCAUCCGUCUGGGUUUACCUGUCUUACUGGAAGAGCUCAAAGAAGUCUUGGAUCCGGCCCUGGAGCCCAUCCUUUUAAAGCAGACGUUCAUGAGUGGUGGAAGACUGCUUAUCCGCCUCGGAGACUCGGACAUCGAUUACGACAAGAGUUUCAGAUUUUACAUGACAAGCAAAAUGCCGAAUCCCCACUACCUGCCUGAGGUGUGCAUUAAAGUCACCAUUAUCAAUUUCACUGUAACUAAGUCCGGUCUGGAGGAUCAGUUGCUAAGCGAUGUUGUGCGACUUGAAAAACCUGAGUUGGAGGAACAGAGAAUCCAGCUCAUCGUGAGGAUCAAUAGUGAUAAAAACCAGCUGAAAUCUAUCGAAGACAAAAUCCUGAAAUUGCUCUUUACGUCUGAAGGGAAUAUUCUGGAUAACGAAGAACUCAUUGAUACGCUCCAGGACUCCAAGAUCACUUCGGGUGCCAUUAAAACCAGGCUGAAGGAAGCAGAGUCCACCGAGAUGAUGAUCAACGUAGCUCGAGAGAGGUACCGCCCGGUUGCCACGCAGGGCUCCGUGAUGUACUUCGUCAUCGCCAGCCUCUCGGAGAUCGAUCCCAUGUAUCAGUAUUCACUGAAGUACUUUAAACAGUUGUUCAACACAACAAUCGAAACGUCUGAGAAGAGUGACAACCUGCAGGACCGUCUGGAAAUCCUCCUGCAGCAGACCCUCCUCACUGCGUACACCAACGUGUCCCGGGGACUCUUCGAGCAGCACAAGCUGAUCUACAGCUUCAUGCUCUGCGUCGACAUCAUGCGCCAGCAAGAGCAGCUAACUGAGGCCGAGUGGAAUUUCUUCCUCCGAGGUUCUGCAGGGAUGGAGAAGGAACGCCCUCCCAAGCCGGAAGCUCCCUGGCUGCCCAUUCAGAUGUGGUUCUCAUGCUGUGACCUAGAAGAAUCAUUUCCAAUUUUUGAAGGACUUACAAAAAAUAUACUGUUGCAUCCCAUCUGCAUCUUUUAAAAUUGUCUCUCCAGGAUCUUUCGAGACCUAUAUUAACCCACAGAGCUGGGAAGGAUACCCUAAACAGAAACAUGAGGAAGACAAGGACCAUGGUUGGGGCUCAAACUUCAGCUCUUUCCAUAAGCUAAUUCUUAUUAAAUGCUGUAAAGAAGAAAAGGUGGUUUUUGCUCUUACAGACUUUGUGAUAGAGAAUCUUGGCAAACAGUUUAUUGAGACACCUCCAGUGGACCUGGCCACCCUGUAUCAGGACAUGUCAAGCAGCACACCCCUAGUGUUUAUCUUGAGCACCGGCUCUGAUCCCAUGGGUGCCUUUCAAAGGUUUGCCAGGGAGAGCGGUUAUGCAGAACGUGUGCAGUCAAUUUCACUGGGACAAGGGCAGGGCCCCAUUGCUGAGAAGAUGAUCAAGGACGCAAUGAAAUCCGGAAACUGGGUAUUUCUGCAGAACUGCCAUCUUGCCGUUUCUUGGAUGCUGGCAAUGGAAGAGCUGAUCAAAACCUUCACAGAUCCAAAUCAGACAAUCAAGGAUACUUUCCGGCUUUUUCUAAGCUCCAUGCCUUGUUCCACAUUUCCUGUGACAGUCCUUCAGAAUUCUGUCAAGGUAACCAACGAGCCUCCAAAAGGCUUACGUGCAAAUAUCAGGCGAGCCUUUACUGAAAUGACACCUUCGUUUUUUGAAGAAAACAUACUUGGAAUGAAAUGGAGAAAACUAAUAUUCGGCAUUUGUUUCUUCCACGCCAUUAUUCAGGAGAGAAAGAAGUUCGGCCCCCUUGGCUGGAAUAUCUGCUAUGAAUUUAAUGACAGUGAUAGAGAAUGUGCCUUACUGAACCUCAACCUUUACUGCCACGAAGGAAAGAUCCCCUGGGAUGCACUGAUUUACAUUACUGGUGAGAUCACCUAUGGCGGGAGAGUGACAGACACCUGGGAUCAGAGAUGCCUUCGGACUGUCUUGAAAAGAUUCUUCUCUCCUGAAACACUGGAUGAUGAUUAUACAUACUCUGACUCAGGCAUCUACUUUGCCCCCUUGGCUGACAGCCUCCAGGACUUUAAGGACUACAUUGAAGACCUGCCUUUGAUAGACGAUCCAGAAAUCUUUGGAAUGCAUGAAAACGCUAACCUAGUUUUUCAGUACAAAGAGACCAAUACUCUAAUCACCACCAUUCUUGAGGUUCAGCCAAGAUCCUCCUCUGGUGGCGAGGGCAAAAGCAAUGACGAAAUUGUUCAGGAGCUCGUCGCUUCAAUCCGGACCAGAGUUCCAGAAUCCCUACAAAUGGAGGGCGCUUCCGAGACCCUUUUUGUCAAGGACCCUCAAGGACGCCUGAACUCCCUGACUACCGUCCUGGGCCAGGAAGUGGACCGGUUCAACAAUCUUCUGAAGUUAAUACAUAUCUCUCUAGAAACACUCAACAAAGCCAUUGCUGGACUCGUGGUUAUGUCUGAAGAAAUGGAAAAAGUGUAUCAGAGUUUCCUCAACAACCAGGUUCCCUCUCUUUGGUCUAACACAGCCUACCCAUCUCUGAAGCCACUGGGAUCAUGGGUCAAAGACCUUAUUCUGAGGACUGCAUUCGUGGAUCUGUGGCUCAAACGAGGACAGCCCAAAUCCUUUUGGAUUUCCGGGUUCUUCUUCCCUCAAGGAUUUCUCACAGGAACUCUCCAGAACCACGCUAGAAAAUAUAACUUGCCUAUAGACGAGCUGAGUUUCAAGUAUAACAUGAUCCCAGUCUACCGAGAUCAAGCCACCGUGAUAGAAGCAGCCAAGGACAUUCAAUUUGGAACAGAACUGCCCAUGGACAAGGAGUUGCCCUCUCCUGAAGAUGGGGUUCUUGUUCAUGGAAUGUUCAUGGAUGCUUCUCGGUGGGACGAUCAGGACAUGGUCAUAGAAGAUGCAUUGCCAGGGCAGAUGAAUCCCAUGCUGCCUGUAGUUCACUUUGAACCAAAACAAAACUAUGAGCCAAUCCAAACACUCUACCACUCCCCACUCUACAAAACAGGAGCCCGGGCAGGAACACUUUCAACCACAGGCCAUUCGACCAACUUCGUGGUGACUGUCCUCUUACCCUCCAAGAGGCCCAGUGAUUACUGGAUUGCCAAGGGGUCAGCGUUGCUCUGCCAGCUGAGUGAGUGAGUGAGUGGGGGCCUCGCUGAUCCAGAGAUUGUCCCUGAAGAGGAGGAAGUGACCUCCAACCUGACUUAAGGAUAGCAGCUGUGGCUGUUAUUUCUCCCGUGACCUACAAUAAAGUUGUUUUCAGUUAUUUCUGUUGGAAA